UACGUAGGGGGCAAGCGUUGUCCGGAUUUAUUGGGCGUAAAGAGCGUGUAGGCGGCCAGGUAGGUCUGCUGUGAAAACUCGAGGCUUAACCUCGAGCUGUCGGCGGAAACCAUCUGGCUAGAGUCCGGAAGAGGAGAAUGGAAUUCCCGGUGUAGCGGUGAAAUGCGUAGAUAUCAAGAGGAACACCUGCGGCGAAGGCGGGUUGCUGGGCUGACACUGACGCUGAGGCGCGAAAGCUAGGGGAGCGAACGGG
rnacentral:rRNA from 1 species